UACAGAGGGGGCAAGCGUUGUUCGGAAUUACUGGGCGUAAAGGGCGCGUAGGCGGCCUUCUAAGUCGAACGUGAAAUCCCCGGGCUCAACCCGGGAACUGCGUCCGAGACUGAAAGGCUCGAAUCCGGGAGAGGGAUGUGGAAUUCCAGGUGUAGCGGUGAAAUGCGUAGAGAUGUGGAGGAACACCGAUGGCGAAGGCAGCCUCCUGGGCCAACACUGACGCUCAUGCACGAAAGCGUGGGGAGCAAACAGG
rnacentral:rRNA from 1 species